rnacentral:ncRNA from 1 species
AGAAAAAUUUUUUAUAGUUUAUAAUUUUAUUUUAAAUUUAUUUUACAUAUAAAUUUUAGUGUUAAAUAUUAAUUAUUUUAAUAAUAAUUAAUUUUUAUAGUAGUAAUUAAUAUUAAAAAUUUAAGAAAUUAAGAUUUAGUAAUAUUUAAAUUAAUAACUAAUUUUGUGCCAGCAGUUGCGGUUAAACAAAAGUUAAAUUAAAAUAUUUCAGUUUAUAAUAAAUAAUAAAAUUUAAAAUAAAUAUUAAAUUAUUAAGUGAAAUUUUAAUUUAAUUAAAUUUUAUAUAGAAAUUAUGAUUUAAUAAAUUUUAAUAUAAACUAGGAUUAGAUACCCUAUUAUUAAAAAAUUAAUUUAUAAUACUAAAAUAGUAAAUAAUUAUUUAUUGAAACUUAAAUAAUAUGGCGGUAUUUUAGUUCAUUUAGAGGAAUCUGUCUAAUAAUUGAUAAUCCACGAAUAAAUUUACUUAAUUUAUAAUUUUGUAUAUCAUUGUUAAAAAAAUAUUUUUUUAUAAAAAUAAUAUUUUAAUUUUAAAAAUAAAAGUUAAAUCAGAUCAAGAUGCAGAGUAUAAUUAAGAAUAUGAUGGAUUACAAUAAAAAUAUUUAAAUGAAUAAUAAUUUGAAAAAUUUAUUUGAAGGUGGAUUUAAAUGUAAUUUUAUUUAGUUUAAUAAAAUGAUUAAAAAUUAAAAUAUGUACAUAUUGCCCGUCGCUUUCAUAUAUAAAUUGAAAUAAGUCGUAACAAAGUAGAAGUACUGGAAAGUCCGUACCAAAGUAGAGGUACUGGAAAGUGUUUCUAGAAAGA